UACGAAGGGGGCAAGCGUUGUUCGGAAUUACUGGGCGUAAAGGGCGCGUAGGCGGUGCACUAAGUCAGGCGUGAAAGCCCUGGGCUCAACCCGGGAAUUGCGUUUGAUACUGGUGCGCUUGAAUCCAGGAGAGGUUGGUGGAAUUCCCAGUGUAGAGGUGAAAUUCGUAGAGAUGGGGAAGAACACCGGUGGCGAAGGCGGCCAACUGGACUGGUAUUGACGCUGAGGCGCGAAAGCGUGGGGAGCAAACAGG
rnacentral:rRNA from 1 species